GGGCUGCUGGGCUUAUAUCUGAGUGAGCACUCUGCUCAUUUAAGGUUGAAUUUUACCUUUCCACUGACACUGGAGAGGACUUUUCCCUGUAAGGUGAUAUAUUUGAAACCAGUGUAAAUGGACACGGCCCAUUAGGUGUGAGUCUUUGUAUAUGAGGGUGAUGAGGGCUCCUGUCUACUAAAAUAAAAGCAUGAUCUUUGUAACACUAGCUGUUACCCGAACCAUCUGUGUGUCAGCCAUUAUGUAUAAAAUAUAUCAGCACUUCUGUCUUACAGCGAUGCUGAAUACAGCAGAAGCUCAUGGCUCAGAGAUGUCUUUGACUUGCAGGACCUGAGAGCAGAUCAUGGCUCCCGUGGGACAGAUAACCAGGGUGGGACAGUGAUGUGAAGGGAUGGGACUGUGCCAGAUGUGCCUGCAGGGGGAAGAGAGCAGAAUGAGGUAGAACUGGAAACAGAGGACGUGCUCAGUCUGGCUGUGGAGCAGGAUAGGAAAAGAAGCUGCCUACAACUUGUCCUUCUGGCUAUGGAGCCAUGCUGAUGGGCAUCAAGCUUGGAAAGUCUGCAGCUGAGGAUCAGUGACAUUGGACAGCCUGUCAAAACAGAAAUCCACCACCUGGGCAACUCACCUUUACAAAACAAUGAUGAAUCGCAGCAUCUUCUGGAUCUGUAAGUUGGUGUUUCAGAACAUGAGGAAUACGUAUGCCCAUGGGCAUUCUCCAUGGGAAGGGUCACAGAAACUUUCAUGUCCUGCAGUGGCUCUGUUAUGGCCAACGGUGCUUUUGGGCUUCACCAAGUUGUACUAUGCCAUACAGAAGGUAUGUAAUAAGUGCCCUUAGCCUGUGGGCACCAAGUUCUUGACUUAAGGAGAGAAAGGAUUUAAUGUGGGUUUUAAUGCCUCAAGUAGAUUUCCCAGUAAGUCCAGGCAUGAGAUUUUCAUACUGAAAUUAGUUAGGUUGCUUUGUAAAAGUAGAAAUCUGUAGAUCUGUUUGCUGUUAAAGAGGGAAACAGAGAAGUUAUGAUGUAACUGCAACUUCUUUCAUGGGAUCUGGGAAGAUAAGAAUGUGUUUGGGAGGUGAAAAGUGGACAUUCUUAUGAGUGCAGAAAAAGAAUUUUGCAUUGUAAAGUCAUGAUAUGAGAAGCAUGGAAAUGGAGAACAUGUAGAGAUAUAAGUCUCAGAGACCAGGUGGGUGCAGUUACAAAGAAGAUGUGGAGGAGUAAUGUACUAGUGAGAAGGGGAAAGAAAAAAAAAGAAAGAUCCUUGCAUAUACAACAGGUUAUUCUUACUUUUAUUUAACUCUUGCUUUUCAUUUUUAGCUGUAAAAUGAAGAAAUGACAACAGUGGUCCAAAAUAAAAUUCCAGCUUAUGCCAUAUUUCAUCUUCCAACUGGAACAGCACUUGUUUUGUUCUGCAUCUGAUACAGAGGUCCCCAAUAUCUGCUUUGAAGCUGAGGGGUUCUUCUGUCCUAUCUUGCUUUAACCAUCUCUGUUGUUAACCAGAGGAGGAAAGUGCUUCCUCAGCCCAGACACUGAGCCUGAUUCAGCCAGUGUCUUUAGGUGAAACUGCACCUGUGACUUCUAAUAAGAGUUUGAAGAUAUGUGAAUGUUCAUGGCAUAGUAUAUACAGGUAUAUCUGUGAUACACGGUGUUCUAGCAAAAAGAAGAGAUAGAAGAAAAUGACUCCAUAUAGGGUUGACUGUGCUGUUGUUUGGUAUUAAGCGUUGUUAUUGUACUUUGAGAGUGAAAAAACAUCUUGUUGCCUGGCGUUGGCUACUCCAUCGAAGAGCUGGUGCCUGUUGACCAGGGUAAGAUGAGUUUCUGUUAUAUGGCAGCUCUCUGUUAAAUAUUAACUUUUUGCUGCUGAGCUUGCAGGUCAUUUUAUUGUAUCUGCAGCUCUCUUGACACACAAGGAGGAUAUUUAUCCUGUGAUGAGAAUUUAUUGCGUCUGCCUGUUUCACUGUUAACUUUUUGGUUGAAAACAGGCUUUCAUCUAAAUGUGUAUUUUCAGUAAAUGUCUGCUUUCCGCAUAAAAUAAUUUUGGUAAAAAGCUAACAUUUCUUAACUUUCAUCCAAAAUACUUUCAUUUUUGUGACAGUCGUGUGAAAAUAUGUUCUCCUCAAGUUAACUUGAGGAUUUUAUAUUGGAAACUUCCUGUUUUUCACACAGUUUCAUAGCUAAGCAAAGCUGGUCAUGUGUCAGGCCAAUAAGAACAGAAUAUGGACAGUGAACUGUCUGUAAAUACUCGUUAUUUGGGAGGGGAGUCUUUAAGAUAAGAAGUGUUUAAUGCAAAAGCAGAAAACAACCAUUUGGGGGGGGGGGGGGCAUAUGUUGUAAAAAAACAUUAUCCUGACCCCUCAUCGCUCAGCUUCGAGGUCUGAAAUAUCUACUGCUAUCCCCUCUUGCAGACACAAGGAGUAACAAAGCCAAUGAACAGCCUGAAACCCUCUUUCUCAGGCACAGAUCUGGGCUAAUUGAACAGGGCAGAGCUUCCACCUUUAAGUAACCAUGCACCUGCAGGGACACCCCCCAGACAGAAAUGAUUUCAGGGUGUUCUCUCCUGCACAUGAUGAAUAUCAAGGAUUUUUUUCCCAAAAAUAAGUAAUAUUGGCACGCUGAUUCUGGCUGUAUGAGAAAAGGAAUGAAUAGAGAGGGAUUGUUUAGAAGAAAGAAGGAUGAACAAUGUCCUUCCAAAGUGCUUCCAGGCUCUGUACUCCUUUGUUAUGAGAGAUGGCUGAAGAGUGCCCACAGUCCAGGGCUGGAGUAGUAUGGUCAUCCAGCUCCCAGACUGACUCACACAACAGCCAAGGAGACGUGUUGAGACUAAUCUGGUUUGCUGGGAAAGUGUGGAGGUAUGAGCAACUUCUCUAGGACAAAGACAGGAAUGUUUCAAGGAGAGUAGUAGGGCAUACCACCAGCCCAAAUUAGUUUCUUUAGCCAUGUUGCCUGCCAAGGGUGGAGAGGAUAGAUUUGAAACAGGGUGAAAAACAUCCUCAGCUGCCUGGAGAGAGAUCAGAUCAACUGGGCACCCCUAGGGAUGUCAGGGCUCUGGAUCAGCUCUGUAUUUAGGGAGACAGCCUACUGCCUUGGCUUGAAGGGUGCUCAUGGUGUGCGGGACAGCUGCCUGUGGCCCAGAUGUGCUGCAGGAAGAUUUCAUGGCAUGAGUGAGGGAACGGAGAGCACCCGGGAGCUGGAUACCGCCUCUGAGAAAUGGAAGCUGUAAGCUACAGACGCUGUUUGACCAUGAGCACAGAGGCUGUGAUAAGUGUAGCUACUGGUAAGCCUUUUAUCAUAUGCUGUGCAGCAUGCACUUGAUCAAUAUAUUGGGCAAUGAUUACUUUUUAGAGCUUCCAAGCAACCUUAGCUGCAAACUGUCGUUGUUUCCAUCAAAAGAAGAAAAAAUACUUAUAGGAUGAAAAGAUGGGUCUACAUGUAUUUUGUUCUUUUCAGGUUAACAGAUGCCACUCAUCUCUCUGCAAAACCACUGUGAAAAUAACUGCGUUCUACUGAAAUGAAGCAACUCCAAACUAAUCCCUGUGAAGAAAAUUCCAUCCUUUAUUUAUUUAUUUAUUUUGGUAGAAAUGAAUUCGCAAAAGAGUUUUAACCCUGAGUUUUCAUAAUGAUAGAACAGGAGCUUUCUCCACCGUCCCAAUUUUGAACUGCAUCUGAUGCAGGUUUAUAGAGACAGGGGACUGUUAUUAGAGCUGUGCAAAUAAUCUGCAACAAGUUAUUGAAUAGUAUUCUUUAGCCUUUUUGCUGUUUGUAACUUAUUUGUGAGCCUACCUGGAUGUCUUGAAUGUGUUUUUUGCUUGAAAUCAUUCUGACCAUAAUUUUUGUGAAUAAUCAUUUAUUUGUACCUAGCCUACGAGCAUUUACAUAAUCAAAAUGUGAAUUGUUUGGGCUAGGCAAUGACAGAUUUCUGUUCCAUGUUUACAGAAGUGUAGCUCUGAGAUUUGUACCAAGAAUUCUCACAGUUACCAGUGGUAAAUUAACUUUCUGCAAACACAGAGAUUAACAUGAACAUUUCUGGGAAAUGUAUGUUCAUCAAAUGUACAAUAUUCAUGGAAAAUAAAAAAAAGGGGGGAAUGUAGUUAAAAUAAUAUUUAUUUGUAAAGCAUUAAAAAGUAUUUCCUGUGAUCCUA